GAUGAAGAACGUAGCGAAAUGCGAUAAGUAAUGUGAAUUGCAGAAUUCAGUGAAUCAUCGAAUCUUUGAACGCACCUUGCACUCCUUGGUAUUCCGAGGAGUACGCCUGUUCGGGUGUUAUGAAGCUCUCAAAACGCAAUUGGCUUAAAACCUGAUUGUUGUUUUGGAUUUGAACUUUGCCGUGUUAUAACGGCUGGUUUUAAAAGUAUUAGCUGGUACUAGAACGAAUUGGUUCUACUCAACGUGAUAAUUAUCUGAUCGUUGAGGACAUUCCUUUCACGAGGAAUGGCCAUAGUAAAUUCAAUGGACUGCUUCUAAUCUGGCUUUAAUUCUUUAUUGGAUUAACCACUUUUCAAAUCUGACCUCGAAUCAGGUGGGACUACCCGCUGAACUUAAGCAUAUCAAUAAGCGGAGGA
rnacentral:misc_RNA from 1 species